UCUGCCUUAUCGGCUAGCGGUCUCAUUAGAGUGCCCAACUUAAUGCUGGCAACUAAUGACAAGGGUUGCGCUCGUUGCGGGACUUAACCCAACAUCUCACGACACGAGCUGACGACAGCCAUGCAGCACCUGUCUCUGCGUCUCCGAAGAGAACUCCGACUUUCAUCGGACAGCACAGGAUGUCAAGCCCAGGUAAGGUUUUUCGCGUUGCAUCGAAUUAAACCACAUAAUCCACCGCUUGUGCGGGUCCCCGUCAAUUUCUUUGAGUUUUAAUCUUGCGACCGUAAUCCCCAGGCGGAGCACUUAACGCGUUAGCUACGACACCGAAAGGGUAAGAUCUUCCGACAUCUAGUGCUCAUAGUUUACGGCGUGGACUAC
rnacentral:misc_RNA from 1 species